UGAGUGACACACACGGCGUGG
ensembl:piRNA 21ur-3322 ncRNA